GCUUUCCCCAUCGAGCCGGCCGACCGGAGCGCGGCCCUGCGCUGGGGGAGGGGGCCACGGGCCGGGCGGGGGAGGGGCUGGGCGCCGCCACGUGCGCG
rnacentral:miRNA from 1 species